rnacentral:lncRNA from 1 species
UCAUGCAAGAGAGCAACAGGGCAGAUUUCCUAUGACUGACAGAUGAGAGCUUCACGCCGCUGGUACAAGGUAAGAGGUUGCAAAGGGGAAUUCUCUGAAUGCAAAACCCAGGGAUGUCAUUAUGGUAUUGAAACCUGAACCUGGACAUCACUCAACCUCUCCUUCCGCCUUCAAAUCCCUCUCCUAAACCCACUGCUUUGCAGCCAGCCUUCCAGGCUCUCCUGGCCCUCAGUCCACAGACCACAAGCUGUGAUACGCUGCAAAAAUAGAGGAGUUAGAAGUGAUGUCUGGAAAACCAAGCAUAUCUCUAGGAGCUAGUUUUCUGGUUGUCAGCAAAGCCAGGUAACGCUCCCAGGCAAACUAUGCUGUAAAAAGAUGCAAUAAAAAAACACCCUUGCAACCUUUGUGAUGGCUGGCAGGUAUCCAGAUUUUCUGUGCAGGAGCAGACCUAAGGCAGGUCCCCUUGCCCUGUGUUGCUCCAUGGAGAGAUGGCUUGGUGGCUCUUUCAGGAGAGAGAGCCGUCAGGGCUGGUGGGUGCAGAGGCCAUCAGAUGUCCUCUGCGUAUGCAUCAGAUGGCACUUUCAGCCAGUUAACUGAAGACUUUUGUGGGCCACCACAGGUAAGUAUAAUUUUCCCAGAAUUACGUCCCAGGUACACAUUGCACCUUCAGAGGUGCCUUAGUUCAUUGACCUAAGCGCCCCUGGGUUUUCCUGUGUCUUGAAUGCCCCCUGCUACACACAUCGCUGUACGCAGAUGUUUCUACACAGUGGCAUUUCUAACCUUCAGCUUUUCCUCACAGAGUUUCAGUGUGCUGUCAGGUGGAAGCAUCUGCCUCGCCGUGCGAGGAAAGCCUUCCUCACCCAGCAUAAAGCUCCUUACUCACGCAGGUUUUGAUGUGCAAGGGGCAGCUGAGGCAGGGUCAGCAUGAGGCCUUCAAAUUCCUCCAGACACCAAAGUCACCUCUGACCUGGCCACAGAGGGGAGGGACAGAAGAGAAAUACCGUCUUGCUGCUGCCAGGAACGAGUCCCCUCCACCCCUGCCAAAAACCCCAGCUGUCCGCCGCUCAGCUGCCAGCGCAGCUUUCCCCGUGCAGCUCCCAAGGUCUUGCCUACAGCGGGGAGCUGAACCAAAGGUGGUGACAGGUUUACACCCUGAAUUAACCGAGCCCGAGAGCAGCCAUUGCUUCUAUUGCCUUCUCCGGGGACUUCAUGUGCUCCACACCUUGGGAAGGCCAGCUCCUGGAGCCUGCCGAAACACGCGGCCCAAACUGCGGGCUGCACAUCGCCUCCUCGGUGUUCGUUGUAUCGCUGGCCUGAGUGGCUGCGAAGAUAAGGGGGGAGCAGAUGGCGCUUGCUUAUCGCUCGGCCUCCUCCCGGGGGGGGUGAAG